CAUGCUAUUUUAUACUAUUGUACCUUCUAGAUCUUCUUACAUGUGGAACUUGACGAAGAAAUGCAUGUUAUUCAUCACGGCGAGCAUAGAAGAAUCUUUGUGGUUGAAAAUAAGUGCAUUUUAGUUACACCAUGCGCACCAGAAAAGUGUGGCAAUUACAAUAUCCUACAUGAUAGAUCUUUUUCUCUCUCUCUCUUCUUGUUCUUCCAUUAAGACAAAAGUGACUUCA
rnacentral:lncRNA from 1 species